rnacentral:rRNA from 1 species
UGCAUAUCAAUAAGCGGAGGAAAAGAAACCAACAGGGAUUGCCCCAGUAGCGGCGAGUGAAGCGGCAAGAGCUCAGAUUUGAAAUCGCUGCGGCGAGUUGUAGAUUGCAGGUGGGGCCGUCUGCGGCGGUGCGUGUCGAAGUCCCUUGGAACAGGGCGCCAUUGAGGGUGAGAGCCCCGUGCGACGCGUGCCCAUGCUUUGAUGCCCCUCUGACGAGUCGAGUUGUUUGGGAAUGCAGCUCUAAGCGGGUGGUAAAUUCCAUCUAAGGCUAAAUACUGGCGAGAGACCGAUAGCGAACAAGUACUGUGAAGGAAAGAUGAAAAGCACUUUGAAAAGAGAGUGAAACAGCACGUGAAAUUGUUGAAAGGGAAGGGUAUUGGGCCCGACAUGGGACGUGCGCACCGCUGCUCCUUGUGGGCGGCGCUCUGGGCGCGUUCUGGGCCAGCAUCGGUUUUUGCCGCAGGAGAAGGGGCCGUGGAAUGUGGCUGCUUGCAGUGUUAUAGCCACGGCCAGAUGCUGCGUGUGGGGACCGAGGGCUGCGACAUCUGUCUCGGAUGCUGGCACAACGGCGCAAUACCGCCCGUCUUGAAACACGGACCA